CUACGGGGGGCAGCAGUAAGGAAUAUUGCGCAAUGGAGGCAACUCUGACGCAGCCAUGCCGCGUGCAGGAAGAAGGCCUUAUGGGUCGUAAACUGCUUUUAUUUAGGAAUAAACCCCCGAACGUGUUCGGGGCUGAAGGUACUAAACGAAUAAGCACCGGCUAACUCCGUGCCAGCAGCCGCGGUAAUACGGAGGGUGCAAGCGUUAUCCGGAUUUAUUGGGUUUAAAGGGUGCGCAGGCGGGCUAUUAAGUCAGUGGUGAAAUCCCGGGGCUCAACUCCGGAACUGCCAUUGAUACUUAUAGUCUUGAGUUUGGUUGAAGUGGGCGGAAUGUAGCAUGUAGCGGUACAAUGCAUAGAUAUGCUACAGAACACCAAUCGCGAAGGCAGCUCACUAAGCCAAAACUGACGCUCAUGCACGAAAGCGUGGGGAUCAAACAGGAUUAGAUACCCUAGUAGUC
rnacentral:rRNA from 1 species